UUUUGUGAUGACUUUGACAAUCACAAUAGAUUACGUGUUAAUGUGAUUGUAUCAAUCAUCAAAAAAACACUAAACAUUUGCGUGAUUGUCAAAACCAUCACGUAAAACUUUUCAUGAUGGGCGUAUACAAGACGACCGUUGUGAUGCUUAAAGCCAUCACGUAAACCUUUUGUGAUGGUUUUCCUACUUUUUGUGAUGAAUUUUGGCCAUCACAAAUGACCAUUUUUUUAGUAGUGU
rnacentral:lncRNA from 1 species